UAUUGCAGGUGGUGGGCGGAGGGGAGUUUCAUAUAGGAUGACUGAACUGUUUUUCCAGAGAGGGAUCCUCCCACGUCCUGACUGGCCAGUGACAAGUAAGGAUGGUGUUUUAGACAGGAAGGUCCAGGAGGAGAAGGUGGCAUUGAAUCAGAGACAUAAAUGCAAGGAGGGAGCGGGCAAUGCGAAUAUCCGGGGUAGGCAGAUUCCAGGCAGAGGAAAUGGCAAAGGCCAUGAGAUGGGAACAGCUUUGCAAGGAUGAGAGGCCACUGUGGCUAGAGCCAUGGGAGCAAGGGGGAGUGCAGGAAGGAGGACAUGCACUUCUGGUAUAUGGAAACAACUUUCACACAGACCUGGUCAGGGACAUUAAAAAGCCAAAUAUUAAAAUAUUCCAUGAUAUUGUGUAAAAAUGAAUUGGAAUCAUUUUUUACAGUAUUUGACAUCAGACAUGGAAAAUCACUACUGAUUUGCCUUUGUUUGGUUAAUCAGGCAGGCUAACAGUUUUGUGCAAUUAUCUACUCUGUUCAACACUGAAGAUUCUGAAAAAUAAAAAAUUGGUAUCUCGUAAACAUUUACACUAGAGACUCUCUGAAUAAGAUAUAAAUCUGUACACAUGUCUCAGCUCAACCAAAGGAAGCAGCUCAUGUUGUUGAAAAAAAUCAAAAGCUUAAAAAAAAAAAACAACCAGUUGUCAAGGCAACGAGAAAAAAAAAUAGACAGAAAAUAGUUUCUAUCUCAACCACUGUUACAUAGUGAAGCUGAAUAACUCCUGGUCCUGCUUUGGAAGUUUUAUUUAACCUCCGAUCGGUCAUGUUAGUAGAUUGAGGCAUGAAUGGAGAAUCCAGGGGCAAGUUGCUAGCAUAAAGCCCCUUAGGAAAAAUGUGAGCUCUAUGGUUUACAGGUGAAGGCAGGAGAAUGAUUUUCUUUCUCUAACAAUUUUUCUGCAACUUUUCCUGUAUAACACAAUUUUGCAGAGAAUUUCCAUUUAUCAGCUAGAUACCAAAUGGUUAUUGAGAGACCAGAAGGUCAAAUAACUUGUUGGAGGAUUUCCAGAUCCUUCUCUUUGAAUUUCUGUAAUUUCAGAGAGUGACUCAGAGUUGACUUUAAAGGCCAUCUGUGCUCCUCCACCAGCCCCCACUGCUGAAAGCCCUGGCACUCACAUGCUGCCAAACACAUUCUCAACUCUCUGCUUCCCAGUUUUCUUCACCUGGUGCUCCCUGGGGACGCUGUGCCCAUCCCCUCCCCUAGGAAGCCUUCCCCAGUUCCCCAGGUAGAGCUGGCCAGCCCCCACCACAGCUUCUGCAGUGCUCAGUAGAUGGUACUUGGCAGGUCUUACCUCCCAUUGAAUAUCUGUGUUUGUUUUCUUAUGGCACGGGGACUUCCCAGAGGCAGGGACCCUGUUCUAGCUAUGGUCUCCUGGCACAGUGUGAUGGUAGAUAUUUUUUAGUGAAUGAGAAUGAAUGAAUUAGUGUAUAGCCCUAGCUUUGAAUGUGAAAGAACAAUCCCAAAUCACCAUCAACACAACUAGCGGGAAGAAUCUGGAAAGCUAGAUAGUACAAAGGGGAGGCAAAUGUGUCUGUUCCCAGCUCAACCCCUAGCCAGCAGUGUAGAGGUAGACUUCUCUUAUUUCCCAAACUGUGUCUGCAGAAUACCACCUAUGUUCUCAGGGAUGGUUGUGGGGCUUCCAUGAAAAAAAAGGACUCCAUUUUCUAAUAAGUUUGAGAAGGGUAGCCUGCUAUCAUCUGAAUGUGUUCCCCUAUUCAUAUGUUGAAAUCCUAACCUCCAAGGUGAUAGUAUUAAGACAUAGGGCCAUUGGGAGAUGAUUAGGUCAUGAAGGAGGAGUCCUCAUGAAUGGAACUCAUAAAGGAGACCCCAGAAAGCCCCCCUGCCCCUUCCACCAUGUAAAGGCACAACUAGAAGGUGCCCUCUGUGAACCAGGAAGUGGUCUUCACCAGAUGCUGAAUCUGUUAGCACCUUGAUCUUGGACUUCCCAGCCUCUAGAACUGUAAGAAAUAAUAUUCUAUUGCUUAUAAGCCACAUAAUCUACAGUAUUUUGUUAUAGAAGCCCAAAUAGACUAAGACACAGGGUGAAAAACAUCAAACAGAUCUUUACCAAAGACCUUUGCACAACAGUAUCUAGCCCACAGAACUGUAAGAGGAUGGGAUGAGGCAAUCCAGGCAAAGUGCUACUAAGCUUGAUUAAUACUAACUACUGUUUUCAUUACCAUUACUCUUCUCAAACAUCUGUACUUCUGUAGAUUGUUUUUUCACAUUGAGGACAAGUACUUUUAAUUAAAAAAACAAAAAAAGAAUGCUACUUGACUCAGCUCAUUGGUCAAAUUAGAAUGUAACCCAGCUGGAUGAGUUUGUAGCAUUUUUUGCCUAUAUUAUUAUAUAAAUAAUCUCUUUCCUAAGUUCUUCUGCAUAAAAGUCACACAUGCUAAUUUCUCUAUUCAAAAAAAUUAACUUGGAAAAGUUAUAUUUGAAGAGAAGGACUCACAGGAUAGGAGAACCCACUCCUGAAGGCAGGAAGACUCUUCCAUAAACCUUUCUCCUGGAGGCAGGGAGCUCUUUUCCCUGCUAAGUCCUGACACCCUCCCGGCCUCCAGGAGAAGGCUCAGACAGGAAUGGUAGCUCCCGAUCUGCUUUCCCCAAAAUUGAGCACUGUUCACUGAAAAUCAGCAGAACAUAAAUAUCACAUCUACAAAGUAGGCAGAUAUCUGGAUCCUAAGGGUCACAAAGCUGAAGGGAAUCAAAUGUAAAUACCACUUGAAGUUUCACCUCCUCAAUGCCAAUGACAGAAGUAUUAUCUGAGAUGAAUGGGGUUCCAGAAGAGAGGGCUAUAGGACCACUUUAGGUAACUGAAUGUAGGCUAAGCGUUAGAGCAAAUGGAAAUGACAAAGAUGUGAAUCUAAAUUAUGUUUCUUUUCUCUUUUCUGGACAACUAUUCCGCCCCUCACCUGCCCCCUCUCUCUUUCUCUCUCUUUUUCUCCCUAUCUCUGUCUAGACAUGAAUCCAAAUUAUGUUUCUUUUCUCUUUUCCAGAAAACUAUUUUCUCUCUCUCUGUGUUUCUCCCUGUCUCUGUCUCUCUCUCUCUGUCUCUCCCUGUCUCUGUCUCUCUCUCUCUCUGUUUCUCCCUGUCUCUGUCUCUCUCUCUCUCUUCCUACAGGCAGCAGGACACUCAGUUAGAUGGACUCUGUUCAGGACAGACAGUAAUUUAUAGCAACAUAAUCAAGCAGAGGCCUAGAGAGAUAAUGCAAAUGUCACAUUGCCCUCAACCAGGGCAGAGCGGAACAAACAAAACAAUGUACCCAUUAAGGUCUUUUAAAGGUCAGGAGAAACAGUCUGUCAGGGUUGCAGGAGUGAUUUUUCUUCUUACCAAUGGACAACCUCAUUUAAAUGAGUAU
rnacentral:lncRNA from 10 species